UUACUUACCUGGAUGGGGUCAAUGGGCAAUCAAUAAGGUCCAUGGCCUAGGCCGGUGACCUCCAUUGCACUUUAGAGGGGGUGCCUGCCUAAGGUCGGCCCAAGCGGUUGAGCCUACGUCAUGAUUUAUGGCAGCAUGGGCCUGCGUUCGUGUAGCCCCUAU
rfam:Capsicum annuum cultivar Zunla-1 chromosome 5, whole genome shotgun sequence